CCCCCUUGCAUUGAACAACUACACAGACACUCAUUCACGAUCAGGAUUUUCUCAUUUGUAAUUGAAAGAUUCAAGACAUCACUCACAAUUCUUGUAGAUUUGUACAAUUAACGGUACAGUCUUUCUCGCAUAGCCUUUCGCCUGUCUUUGUUUAUACUCUGUAUAUAAUUAAAUCUCGUAUAUAAAACUAUAAAAUGUCCCUUCGGCUUCGGCGAUUUCAAUCUUUAAAUAAUCCAAUGUCCAAUUUUGUGCAGCUUUUUAAUACAUUGUGACACAACAUCCAACAUUUUUUAUAUUAAAAAUAAAAUUUCCAUUGAUAGACAGCAGAUUUCAACGACCAAAACGACUCUCCGUCUUCUUUGAACAGUUAAUACACUCCUAUCAACUCCUAUAGUCAGCCAUAUUUAUUAGUAAAAGUUCGUGUUCAAUUUCCG